GUGGUUUACAGCCUGCUUACACUGCUGAAACCUCUCCCUUAGGUCCAUGUCUUGGGGCUGUGGCAAAGCAGUCUGGAUCCAGCCCAAGACCUCCCUCAGCUUCCAGCCCUGGAACUGCUCAGUGGUCUGCAAGUGCAGGAAGAUGUAGCAAUGCCCCCCUGUUGUAUGGUGGCUCUCUUCUUUCAGAUCCGAUGGUUGCUGAAGAUCUGUUUCCAGAAGAUGACUCCAGUGAUUUGACAUAUGGACUCAGCCAAGUUAUUUGUGGGAACCCCGUCAAGGCCCUUCGUGCAAGGAGGCAGAAGCUUGGUGUAUGUUUUUCUUGUACAUGUACACUUCGCAUUCCUGCCAGCUCACCCACAUAAAUUCCAUGAUAAUCUGAGUUUCAACUGUGAUUUCUGGUGGCUUACUCUCAUGUACAGUCCAACCUCCAACACCUGCUCCCCUCAACUCCCCCCCCACAAAAAAAAGGGAAUUGUGCUUGAAGAGGGUGCAGAAUCUUUUGCCCUGAUGUUACAAAGCCUCUGUGCACACGUGCUAGUCCCUGUUGAGGUGGGAUGGUAAAGAGCUGUGAAAGCACAUGGGACCACUUUGGCCAUGGAGUUCAGACUUCAUUAAUUUGUUUUCAACAAGUAUUUGGUCUGGACGCAACCCCAGUCUGUGCUCCCUCACAUACGUGCCGUGAGCCCCCAAAUAAAGAAUAAGGCAAUUAGCAGACAGAAAUCAUUUAUGCCAUCCUGGCUGGACAAAGCACAGGGCAGAGUUGUGAAUUUGUGUGGUAUUUCUACAACAGCUGUUUAGCAAAAGAUUUUUCAGGAGUUUGAUGUUGGUGUAGGUAGUCAGGCCUAAAAGGUUGGGGCUGUUGACUAAAUAAAUAUCAAGCACAAUUUUGUUGUUCUCACCCAUGGGGUAGUGCUGUGGCCCUGCAGAUCAGCCUGUUCGUGUCAGCGGGCCAGUAACUUAGUGAGAGAACACCCGUGGGAUUAAGGGUGGGCAGUCUGGCUCACCAUGAUUAGCUUUUAUGGUCCCUGAGGUUCAGUACAGCACGGCCACAUGUGCAUAAGUUCAAACAGGCUGUGCUAAAUCAGGGAAACGGCAUGUACAGGACACCUGCAUCUCUGCUCUGUCUGCAGCUUCUCUUAAUGCUGACAACAGAUGUUAAAGAACCGCUGGAAAAAAUGCAGCCCUCCCUUUCUCUCUGCUGCCACUGCCCAAACACUGGAAGCUUUUCUGAAGCAAAAGUGAACAUCUGAUUGAAUUACAGUGUGUUGUAAGCUGGGAUGUGAAAGGAGACUGCAGCCAUAUGCUGAGUGGUGCAGUAUCUGCAGUACUGGUCUUAAUAUGCUCAUUGGCAUAGAUGCUGCAGGCUUACACUUGUUUACAGGAGAAUAAUCUGCCAGAGGGAUAUAAAUCAAACCUAUUUGUUCCUUCCACCCUGGGUUCCUCCUGCUGAGCUCCCAGAACUAUACCAGUGUACAGGGCAGCCAUGAGGUUUCUUAAAAUAGAAGAGGUGAGGGGUGAUCUCAGCACUCCGGAGGAACAGCAUACAGACGCCUUCCGAAAUACAAAGUCCAGAAACUGAGCUGGAGAAAGUUUCUGAGGUUAUCAAGACUACUUCUGUCAUUUUUCAGCCACCUGCAGUGAGCCCCUUGAAACAGUGCAGUCUGAAGAUGGAAAACCCUUAUGUCUCUGUAGGAGGAGAAGAUCUGAGCCAGAAGGAUGUCUUUUCUGAGCUGAGAGUAUGGAGAGAACAGCAUAAGCGGUGAGAGUGUGGGAGAAUUCUUGUUAUGCAAUAGACCAGGG
rnacentral:lncRNA from 1 species